rnacentral:rRNA from 1 species
GCAAGUCUGGUGCCAGCAGCCGCGGUAAUUCCAGCUCCAAUAGCGUAUAUUAAAGUUGUUGCAGUUAAAAAGCUCGUAGUUGAAUUUCGGGAUCAAUAUUUCGGUCAUGCCGUUGGUAUGCACUGUUAUCAUUGAUUUCUCACCUUCUAAAGAACCAUAAUGCCAUUAAUUUGGUGUUACGGGGAAUUAGGACUGUUACCUUGAAAAAAUUAGAGUGUUUAAAGCAGGCUCACGCUUGAAUACAUUAGCAUGGAAUAAUGAAAUAGGACAUCCGAUUCUAUUUUGUUGGUUUCUAGAAUCGAUGUAAUGAUUAAUAGGGAUAGUUGGGGGCAUUAGUAUUCAAUUGUCAGAGGUGAAAUUCUUGGAUUUAUUGAAGACUAACUACUGCGAAAGCAUUUGCCAAGGAUGUUUUCAUUAAUCAAGAACGAAAGUUAGGGGAUCGAAGACGAUCAGAUACCGUCGUAGUCUUAACCAUAAACUAUGCCGACUAGGGAUCGGAUGAUGUUAAUUUUUUAAUGACUCAUUCGGCGCCUUACGGGAAAC